AGAGUUUGAUCCUGGCUCAGAAUCAACGCUGGCGGCGUGCCUAACACAUGCAAGUCGAACGCGAAAGCCCCGCAAGGGGUAAGUAGAGUGGCAAACGGGUGAGUAACACGUGGGUGACCUGCCUUCGAGUGGGGGAUAACGUCCCGAAAGGGACGCUAAUACCGCAUGACAUCCUGCUCUUGGACGAGCGGAGAUCAAAGCUGGGGAUCGCAAGACCUGGCGCUUGAAGAGGGGCCCGCGCCUGAUUAGCUAGUUGGUGAGGUAACGGCUCACCAAGGCAACGAUCAGUAUCCGGCCUGAGAGGGCGGACGGACACACUGGGACUGAGACACGGCCCAGACUCCUACGGGAGGCAGCAGUGGGGAAUUGUUCGCAAUGGGCGCAAGCCUGACGACGCAACGCCGCGUGGAGGAUGAAGAUCUUCGGGUCGUAAACUCCUGUCGAGCGGGAAGAACGUUUCGCGGAUGAAUAAGCCGCGGAAGUGACGGUACCGCUAAAGGAAGCCCCGGCUAACUCCGUGCCAGCAGCCGCGGUAAU
rnacentral:rRNA from 1 species